GAUGAAGAACGUAGUGAAAUGCGAUACUUGGUGUGAAUUGCAGAAUCCCGUGAACCAUCGAGUCUUUGAACGCAAGUUGCGCCCGAAGCCAUUAGGCCGAGGGCACGCCUGCCUGGGCGUCACACGUCGUUGCCCCCCCAUCUACUCCUUCGGGAUUGUGGGGGGCGGAUGAUGGCCUCCCGUGCGCCUCGUCGCGCGGUUGGCCUAAAUGCCAAGUCCUCGGCGACGCACGCCACGACAAUCGGUGGUUGCGAAACCUCGGUUGCCUGUCGUGUGCGGUCGUCGCGCAUCGAGGGCUCGAAAAAAUUGCCGGGCUUCGGCUCGACUUUCAACGCGACCCCAGGUCAGGCGGGGUUACCCGCUGAAUUUAAGCAUAUCAAUAAGCGGAGGA
rnacentral:misc_RNA from 1 species